rnacentral:rRNA from 1 species
AUGAAAGGGGACAACUAUGAAGUGAUGGUGGAUCAAUCCUAUUCCUCUAUGUGUGUUCUUGCUCCGAAGAUUGAGGUUGGAUAUGAUUCUGCCAUUAAUUUCAAGAUGUUUGCUCAUUCUGGCCCUAAGGAUGGAUGUAAGUGGCUCACAAUAUGUUUGAGGAAAUGCCUAUAUGCAGAGAGAGGGUUGGGGGCGCUUGAGGCGACGGCGGAGGAGCCACUCUUGCCGGCUGCAGCGACUACUCCAAGUGGAGGUGGAGCGAAGCAGCGGGUUCACGCCAGGCCGGGCCCAGGACAAUGA